CAAGUGGAGAGUUUGAUCCUGGCUCAGAACGAACGCUGGCGGCGUGCCUAACACAUGCAAGUCGAGCGCGAAAGGGGGGGCAACUCCCCGAGUAGAGCGGCGCACGGGUGAGUAACGC
rnacentral:rRNA from 1 species